rnacentral:rRNA from 1 species
UGCUUAAAGACAUUAUUUUAAGUAAAAUCUGCUCAAUGAAACUUCAAUAGCCGCAGAACUUUUACUGUGCUAAGGUAGCAUAAUCAUUAGUUUUUUAAUUAAAGACUAGAAUGAACGAUCCAACAAUUCAAUUUCUUUCUUUUCUGAGCCAACAAAAUUAUAUUAAAUAUAAAAUAUAUUUAUAUAACAAUAAGACGAUAAGACCCUUUCGAACUUAACUUCAGUUUGACUGGGGUAGCCAAUUAAACAUUAUUUUAAUUUAACUUUUAACAAAACCUGACCCAAUAAAUUUGUAUAUAAGAUCAAGUUACCGAAGGGAUAACAGCGCAAUAUUACUUUAAGUUCUUAUUUAAAGUAAUGGUUACGACCUCGAUGUUGAAUUAUUUACCUAAUUAAACGCAAUAGUUAAUCAAGGAGGUCUGUUCGACCUUUAAAUUUUUACA